rnacentral:tRNA from 1 species
AGCCCUGUAGUGAAGUUCACGUCAAAUUGCAAAUUUGAAGAUCCACUUUUGAUAUGUGUCUGGGUUU